AAUAGCCAGCAUGGAUUUGUUGAAAAUAAAUCAUGCCAACCAACCUAAUUUCCAUCUUUGAUAGGGUUACUGGCUUAGUGGAUGUGGAGGGAAGCAGGGGACAUGCUAGAUCUUGAUUUUAAUAAGGCUUUUGACAACGUCCCACAUGACAUUAUCACAAGCAAACUAGGAAAAUGUGCUCUAGAUGAAAUUACUAAAACAGGGUUACACAGUUGUUU